CACGGUGGUAGGACGGAAGUGCUUCCCCUGUCACCAGGGCAAAGACCAGCGCAGCAGGAAAGACAAGCUGAAGAGACAACAUCAACUGCUUGGUGACCAUUCAGACCACUCCUAUCAAGAGACUUGACGUCAUCACCUGCAAGAUUCCAAGAAGCUUGACUGCCCAGCUGGAAUCAACGUGGCUCAUGUUAUCAGAUUCCCUGAUUACAAGAUUGCAGCUGAUGAUGCCAAACAGAGAAAGCGUAGAGGCAAACAACUCAAAUUUGACCUGGCAACAACACCCUCGACAGUUAGAUUUGAG